UAAAGAUGAAGUUGUCUGGAGACAAGGGCAGCUAGAAAGGGUGGGUAAGGGAGAUGCUCACUCGGCUGUUAUAGGAUCCCGAUCAAUAGAAAGGGAUGCACAUGUCUCUGAAAGCUCCAGUAAGGGGAGGGGCAUGAUUAUGGAUAAGAUUGUGGUUGCUGGUCCCCAACUGGGGGGUGCAGGGAGAGGAAGAGAAGGAGCUAGUUCUCCUAGUAUAGUACGGGAGAAUGACCCCCAGGAAUUGGAGUUUAGGGAAGGGGAACAUGCUAUGAUAAGACAGGAACUGUUAGAAAAUG
rnacentral:lncRNA from 1 species